rnacentral:rRNA from 1 species
UACAGAGGUCUCAACCGUUGUUCGGAUUCAUUGGGCGUAAAGGGUGCGUAGGCGGUCGGGUAAGUCGGAUGUGAAAUCUCGGGGCUCAACCCUGAAACUGCAUUCGAUACUGCUUGGCUAGGGUACUGGAGAGGAGACUGGAAUUUACGGUGUAGCAGUGAAAUGCGUAGAUAUCGUAAGGAAGACCAGUGGCGAAGGCGAGUCUCUGGACAGUUACCGACGCUGAGGCACGAAGGCCAGGGGAGCAAACGGG